CUGGGGCUUCUUCCGUUUCUGCCACUGCUAGGAGCCGCGAUUGUAUUGCAUGCCUGGGUUUCAGCACCUAUGCCUCUCUGCCAUCAUAACUGCACCACCUGUAAUGAUGUGUUUCUUUUUAUUUACAGGAGUCCUGGGGAAGUGUCGCUAUGUUUACUACGGGAAAAAUUCAGAGGGCAACAGGUUUAUCCGAGAUGACCAGCUCUGAAGCCAAGUUCUGUAUGCCUUAGCCUAUUUCAUGAAAAUAAAAAGGGAAAGCAAAAAUAAAGAAAGAGCUAAAGAGAAAACAAUGGCCCACGUUGCAUCUCUGCGGGAAGGCUGUGACUUCAGCUCUUGGUACCUUGUGCUGACUUUGCCAGGCCCGUCAAGAUCAUCCUUCUGCCUUAGACUGAGUGGUCACAGAGAGAUUGACAUGAUUGCCCUUAAGCAGGUCUCAUCCACCAGGGUGACAGACAGCAGCGGCGAAGCACCAGGGUUGACAGCAUGAACACCAUGAUAGAUUGCCUGGUCCCUCCACUGCUCACAGGGGAGCAGAGGUCACACCUGGGGCCUCCCUGAGCAUGCUCAGUGACUGCCAUCUAGUGAGAGAGACUGUCUUCAGCUUGCCUACUGAGUCAAGACCCCUCUGACAUCAUUGUGCUGUGGGUUUAUUUUUAGUGGGAUUGUCACAGUUAGGGGGAGGAUGCUCUCCCUUUUUCCCCUUAAAUCUUAGCCUUUAUGUUCUGCAUAGGUACAGGUCCCUCCUCCCUCACUGCUCCCCAACCUUUAGCAUCAUGCAUUUCCAUUUGCAGUUUUUCAGAGAACAGAGGGAUAACUUCUCAGCCAGGUCAUACAUUGACAGCUAGAUUCUGGUAGUUACAAUCCCUACAUCAAAUAGCUUUUCCUAAACCUCGGACUACAAAAACAUGGCCUUUAUCUUACUUCAUUCAUUUUCAAAUCUUCUCUCCUGAAUAGGAUGUAGGGUGAGGCAUCCUUCCCAACACCCUUGGUUGCACCAGGGACUCUUUUUAACCACGCCCUUCUUCACUGUGCCUACGGCCCUCAUUGUGCAUGGGCUGGCUUGCUCCUUUGAGUGCCAUUUAAAAGUAGUGAGGUGAUGAAGGCAUGUGAUGGGUCAGGGGGUUGAAAAUCAAAAUGAAGACUGUAGAAAAUACCCACCAGACCCGACAGCUUUUAUAGACAGUGUAGACCUUUUGAAUGUCAUGUUUUUCUCUGGACCUCUCAGAAUUUAGAUGCAUAGCUUUUGAGAUGUUGCUACGUCUUUGUGCAUCCUUGGCUAUGUUCUAGCAUUAAUGUCACAAAGAAAAUACCCAUGAUCAUGCUACUCGGGUGACUAGCCUUUCUUUGAACUUCCUGGUUCACAAGUCAAAUCACCCUCAAAAAUGUGUGAAAGGCUGGUUUAACACUUAUUUUUGCCUCUUGCAUUUAGACAAGGUGUCCAUGGUCCUAGGACAACAAAGUCUGGAGGAGAACCAAAGUUACAGAUACCAAGUGGGUUACUAGAGAGUUGCUAUUGUGAAAGUCUUUGGGGACUCAGAAUCCCCCAGCUGCCCCAGAAGAACUUCCUUUCUCGACUCGACUCCGUUUACAUAGCCUCUGGCCUACUGAGUCAACACAGCCCUGGAAUGACAUGUAUUGAGGCUGGCAGGAGUCCCGCUUGUAGAUUACACAACCUCCAUUAAUCAGCUGUUCAGACCAGUUAACAUUAAAAUCCUUGAGACCAUUAAUAAUUAGAGAUUAUUGAAUGUUUGCCUUCAUCUCUCCAAUCCAUUAAUAACCAGAGCUGAGUACCUUCUCUCUGUUUGAUCUACAAAACAGCUUUAGGAUAAUGCUUUAAAUUAGCUGCAUUAGGUCCCACCCUGGUUCUUUGUUUAGAAGCAUCAGCAGGGGCUUCAUCCAUGGCAUAUUAUGGGCAGCAGAGCUCUGUGCAAGGGCAGCUAGACUAGUCUGAUGUCAUAUCCAAUCUAGCGGCACAUAUAUCCUUGUCUUUAUAAAAGGCUUUAACCCUGCCUCAAACAAUAAAAAAGCACUUGUGAACUGACCACAGAAUUUUUCCAUCUUUAUUUUUCUUACUUGUUUACUUUUCUUAAUGUCAGAACCAUUUGUAUCAUGUGCAGGAAUGUCUCCCUCCAUGUGAGCUUUUGGAGGCAAAAAAAAAAGAAAUAUUUUUGGAGUGAGUUAUUGACCACAUUGUUUCCCUCUCUUUGGGUUGUUUAUUUUCUUCCAGAAUGGUGUAAUAACUUUAAUUAAGAUUAGCUUUAAUUAUAAUUUACAUAAAGGCCAUCACUGUGGUAUAUUCAUCUUAUUGAUAGAAUUAUAGUUGAGUUUUGUUUCUCGUAAGCAGGGAUAAUGAUAAUGAAUUAGUGUUGGGUUGUUUACAAUUCCACUGUUUGUUAAGCAAGAUCUGCUGUGCUCGACUUUGGUCUGCAUCAGGAAGGGGAGGAAGCCAUGUUGCAUGUUUAUCUUAAAUCUGAAGGAAUUUCCCAAACCUUGUUUUUCAAAGUAGAAAAUUAAGGUAAUAAAUUCAAUCAAAGCUCAGACAUAUUUCAUACCCAUUCUGCACUUUUUUUUUCUUUCUUCCUUUCACCCUAUUCCACUGGGCUUGUUCUUUGGGGAUCAUGGUGCCUGACAGCUCCAUCUUCCUUCCCCCGGGACACUGGUCUGAGUGGAGAGACCCCCACAAUCACAGUCAUUCUGGGGUUUUCUGUUGCCUCAGCAAUGUCAUGGUGGGUAUCUCUCCUAAGUAACAGAAUUUUAUAGAACAAUUUGUUCCAUGGGGAAUAAUGUUUUAGAUUGUGGGGGAAUCCUAUUAAAAGU
rnacentral:lncRNA from 1 species